CAAUAGCGUAUAUUAAAGUUGUUGCGGUUAAAAAGCUCGUAGUUGGAUUUCUGCCGAGGACGACCGGUCCGCCCUCUGGGUGAGUAUCUGGCUCGGCCUGGGCAUCUUCUUGGAGAACGUAGCUGCACUUGACUGUGUGGUGCGGUAUCCAGGACUUUUACUUUGAGGAAAUUAGAGUGUUUCAAGCAGGCUUACGCCUUGAAUACAUUAGCAUGGAAUAAUAAGAUAGGACCUCGGUUCUAUUUUGUUGGUUUCUAGAGCUGAGGUAAUGAUUAAUAGGGAUAGUUGGGGGCAUUCGUAUUUAACUGUCUGAGGUGAAAUUCUUGGAUUUGUUAAAGACGGACUACUGCGAAAGCAUUUGCCAAGGAUGUUUUCAUUGA
rnacentral:rRNA from 1 species